rnacentral:rRNA from 1 species
GAUGAACGCUGGCGGCGUGCCUAAUACAUGCAAGUCGAGCGAACAGACGAGGAGCUUGCUCCUCUGACGUUAGCGGCGGACGGGUGAGUAACACGUGGAUAACCUACCUAUAAGACUGGGAUAACUUCGGGAAACCGGGCUAAUACCGGAUAAUAUAUUGAACCGCAUGGUUCAAUAGUGAAAGACGGUUUUGCUGUCACUUAUAGAUGGAUCCGCGCCGCAUUAGCUAGUUGGUAAGGUAACGGCUUACCAAGGCGACGAUGCGUAGCCGACCUGAGAGGGUGAUCGGCCACACUGGAACUGAGACACGGUCCAGACUCCUACGGGAGGCAGCAGUAGGGAAUCUUCCGCAAUGGGCGAAAGCCUGACGGAGCAACGCCGCGUGAGUGAUGAAGGUCUUCGGAUCGUAAAACUCUGUUAUUAGGGAAGAACAAAUGUGUAAGUAACUAUGCACGUCUUGACGGUACCUAAUCAGAAAGCCACGGCUAACUACGUG